rnacentral:lncRNA from 1 species
CCCACAUUUCCGCACAGGUCCUCUGCAGAUGGCAGAGCCCUUUCUCUAAAUGCAUGGCAUGAAAAGGCAUUUCAAAGGUUGGAAAGAGAGCUUCAGCAUUAAUCAUGAUGGGAUAGCGGAAACUGGCUUUGCAAGGGAUGGACUGGACUUCAGGGAAGAUGGACAGCCUGAGCUCACUUUCAGGAGAGCUCACUUUCAGGAGAUCAGUCAGGGCUGUCAUUCCAGGGCCUGGGUGGAGGGCUUCUGCUGUGCCAGGGAACAGGUGUCUGGACUCGGUCUCCCAGGGGAGAAGCAGGCCCCCCACAAAGGACAUAAAUCUCUACAGAUGAGGAUACCUCACUGGGCUUUUGUUUGUCAGCCAAAAAGGGAAAAACAUUUCAGCAGAGGCCUCAAAGGCAGAACAAAAUAGUGCAAGGAGCCGCACAUCCGCACAGUGCUGAGACCCUGCCCAGGACAAGCUUGAUCCUGGCACCCAAGUGACAACCUGCAUUGAAAAGGCGGAACUUGGCUCUCCUGCCCUGCCAGCUGUAAGAGCUUGAAAGCAAAGCUAUGGGGGGAAUGUCUUUCAUUUCCCCCUGGAAGCUGGGAGGACGUUCAGCUUAGCAUUGCCAACUGUGUAAUGUGGACUUGCCUCUAAAAGAAGCCUUUUUCCUUGGAUGUCUUUCAGGCCGCAGUAUUCCCUUUGGCACCCCCACCCACCUGGAACAAAGCCUGAUGUAAAGUCUGGGUGCGACUCAGACCGGCCUGGGAAAGAAUUUAUUUAAUAAAUGGUGGAAAGUGGCUUCCUUGACGUGUCUUCGAUGGCUUUUUUAUAAAGCAUUUGGUUUGUCUACUCGUCUGUUUUUGCGCCAUCUCUUUCCACAAAGAUGGCUUAUAGCAGGGAUACUUACAACAAAAUGAUGCUGGGAAAACAAAAACAAAGAAGUAGAGAAUUAGGCCUGAGAAAACUAGGAGUAGAGAGUCACGAUUAGAUACAGAGGAGCAUAGAUGUGUAGUCUAGGAAGGCCAACUAAUUGUUAUAGCUGAAAUUCAAAUUCAGUUAGCUAAAAUGUUCCUAGUGUCAAAGGAAGAAUGGGCCACACAGUUGCAUAAUCCUUAGUAUUAGGGAGAAGGAAAAGGUUCCAGUUAUUCAGAGGGAUGUUCUCUUGCCUUAUUCCUUUAAUAAGUAUCUGUUAAAGGCCCACCAUGUGCCAAGCACCAUGCCCGGCAAGCACUGCACUCACCCCCCAGGAACUCAGUGUCUAAAGGAGACUGGGUGAAAGAACUAUAUUUGUGUGCCUAUGAUGUGUCAAAUACUAUGCAUUUAGUUAUGCAGUUACUGUAUGUUAGACACUAUGCAUUUAAUUAUUUACCUGCUGUAUAUCAGACACCAUGCAUUUUCAUUUAACCCUCAUAAGCACUUACAUCAAGUAGACACUGUUACCUCUUUUUUACAG